UUCUCGUUAGAUCACCGAAGUCAAACAUUAUUGGGUGCGGUCAGUACUUGGGUGGGUGACCACCUGGGAACACCGCGUGCCGUU